AGCGAACGCUAGCGGCGGGCCUAACACAUGCAAGUCGAGCGGGGGAGCGAUCCCCAGCGGCGGACGGGUGAGUAACACGUAGGUUAUGUGCCCCUUGGUGGGGAAUAACCGUGGGAAACCAUGGCUAAUUCCGCAUAUCGAGCGAAAUCUUGAAAGCCUUCGGGCGCCAAAAGGAGCAACCUGCGGCCCAUUAGCUUGUUGGUAGGGUAACGGCCUACCAAGGCGAUGAUGGGGUAGCUGGUCUGAGAGGAUGAUCAGCCACACUGGAACUGAGACACGGUCCAGACUCCUACGGGAGGCAGCAGUGGGGAAUAUUGCGCAAUGGGCGAAAAGCCUGACGCAGCCACGCCGCGUGAGUGAUGAAGGCCUUCGGGUC
rnacentral:rRNA from 1 species